rnacentral:lncRNA from 1 species
CCUGAAAUGAUUUGGGUCCUGGUGCUGACUUCGGUGUCAAGUGCCAUUUGCUCUUAAAGAGGCGUUCUGCUGUCUCUGGUCCUCAGGUGUGUCAUCUGUCAAAGGGGCUUCCAGGGACAGCACCAGAAAUGGAGUGUAUCAGAGUGUCCAGGAAGCCUUUCAGUAUCCCGGUGAAGGAGAAGCCACCAGAAGAAAGAAGACUCGAGCCUCCAGCUGGAGGAUAGAAAGCCUGGGGCCAGUUCUGUGGUGUGUGUGUGUGUUUCCUUACUCACUCGCUUGCUGAGUGCCCCUGUGUACUGUUGUACCCAAGGUUAUACAAAAGGACCAUGACCCUCAA